GACGAACGCUGGCGGCGUGCUUAACACAUGCAAGUCGAACGGACAGACAGAGAGCUUGCUCUCUUGAAGUUAGUGGCGAACGGGUGAGUAACGCGUAAUCAACCUGCCCUUCAGAGGGGGAUAACAACGGGAAACCGUUGCUAAUACCGCGUACGAUUCAUGAACGGCAUCGUUUAUGAAUGAAAGGUGGCCUCUAUGUAUAAGCUAUCGCUGAAGGAGGGGAUUGCGUCUGAUUAGCUAGUGGGAGGGGUAACGGCCCACCAAGGCAAUGAUCAGUAGCCGGUCUGAGAGGAUGAACGGCCACAUUGGGACUGAGACACGGCCAAACUCCUACGGGAGGCAGCAGUGGGGAAUCUUCCGCAAUGGACGAAAGUCUGACGGAGCAACGCCGCGUGAGUGAUGAAGGUCUUCGGAUUGUAAAGCUCUGUUAAUCGGGACGAAAGAGUUCUGCGUGAAUAAUGCAGAAAAGUGACGGUACCGGAAUAGAAAGCCACGGCUAACUACGUGCCAGCCGCCGCAGUAA
rnacentral:rRNA from 1 species